GACGCUGUAAUUCAGUUUGGGUUUGUCAAUCAAUGUGAGGAGAGUGAGAUGUAUGUGUGAGUCACUGUUUCUCUUCUUUAGAAUUCACUAGCACGGCACAGCUACACCCAGGCAGUUACACUUCGCUAUCACAACAACUUUCGGAUCUAUUUGGCAGAAUAAAAAAUACGCAUGGGGAAACGCAUUGCAUCUUAGAAAUGCUUUGCUUCUCAUAGACAGAAUUUUCGCAAAUGGCAUUUGACCCAAGUUGCAUACCUUCUACGAUGCCUGAAACACACACAACGGAAAAUGAAAAUGAAAUUAGAAAUUCUGGAGUAAUUUGCUGUAAGAAACCAAAAACCAAGCUGAUGAAGCGUCUUCGAAAUAUUUUGCUUUACGAUCUUCUUGGAUAUCUUGGUAAACUUUAGCUCCUUCACUGAAAUAUAUGAGCACUUUUGCGGUGCCGUGGCUCACGUUAAAGGCUGGUAUUUCUGAAACCCUCAUCAUCAACUCAUCAUACUAUUUGUGUGAGUCUCACACGCAAGAUCGCUUUUAACUCAAAACCCCUUCAAAGACGCAAGAUCAUCGUUUGUGUGAGGAUGUUUUACAUUUGGA